rnacentral:sRNA from 1 species
GAACCCUCCCAGAUGUUCAGGACUUUCGAUACCUUGUAUGCUGAUGGUAGCAUAUGUUUAGAUAUCCUUCAGAAUCGAUGGAGUCCAACAUAUGAUGUAUCUUCUAUCUUAACAUCAAUUCAGUCUCUGCUGGAUGAACCGAAUCCUAACAGUCCAGCCAAUAGCCAGGCAGCACAGCUUUAUCAGGAAAACAAACGAGAAUAUGAGAAAAGAGUUUCGGCCAUUGUUGAACAAAGCUGGAAUGAUUCAUAAUAGACAACUGGUCUGUUAAUCUUUUUCAUCAUUGUUGUGUAUAAUUUACCUCUCAGUAGAAAGGCUAACAAAUUUUAAGUGCCACAGGUUUUAAGGAUUCUGCAGAAAAAAAAGAAAAAAGUCCUUCAGUUUAGAACCUACAAAAGCUUGUGUAUCUUGAUUAAUGUACUUUUUAUUGCAUGGUGUGAACUAAGUUAUUGCUGCAUAAAUUUGUAAUAUAUCCUGUUUGUAUUUUUUUCCAAGUGUAUAAUGUUGGUGUGGAGUUUUCAUGACAGAAUAUACACAUUUUGUAAAUCUGUACUUUUUUCAAAUAUUGAAUGCCUUAUUUUUGAAUUCUUUAGAUUUUUAAAUUGGAGAAAAGCACUUAAAGUUUUUUAUAUAUGAAUAUUACAUGUAAAGCUGUUAAAAUACAUAACUUCAGUGCAAGAGA